AAUUAAGAAGCAAAAUUUUGCAUUCAAUUUCGGCUUGAAAGUUAGGUUAAUUAAAUCCUUAAUUG
rnacentral:tRNA from 1 species